GACAGAGGUGGCGAGCGUUGCUCGGAUUUACUGGGCUUAAAGGGCGCGUAGGUGGCCUUGUAAGUCAAAGGUGGAAUUCCACAGCUCAACUGUGGAACUGCCUUUGAUACUGCAAGGCUUGAGUCAGGUAGAGGAGGGCGGAAUUCCCGGUGUAGCGGUGAAAUGCGUAGAUAUCGGGAGGAAGGCCGGUGGCGAAGGCGGCCCUCUGGGCCAAGACUGACGCUGAGGUGCGAAAGCGUGGGGAGCAAACAGG
rnacentral:rRNA from 1 species